CAGCCGCCACGGUAAUACGGAGGGGGCUAGCGUUGUUCGGAAUUACUGGGCGUAAAGCGCGCGUAGGCGGCUUGGUAAGUUAGAGGUGAAAGCCUGGAGCUCAACUCCAGAAUUGCCUUUAAGACUGCCGAGCUAGCAGGUGAGAGAGGUAAGUGGAAUUCCGAGUGUAGAGGUGAAAUUCGUAGAUAUUCGGAAGAACACCAGUGGCGAAGGCGGCUUACUGGCUCAUACUGGACGCUGAGGUGCGAAAGCGUGGGGAGCAAACAGGAUUAGAGACCCCCGUAGUCCCUGUCUCUUAUAC
rnacentral:rRNA from 1 species